UAGGUAACAGCACGACCACAGUGAGGCAGAGAACCAAGCAGGCUCUUCAGGUCCUCAACUCUAGGACUUGAUUUUUGGAUGGCAUUUCUGUACCUGCCCUGGGCCAGAGGGGAGCCCACUGCCCUAAAAGAUGGCACCUCUGGACCCAGCUGGAGCCUGGGGCACCUUACCAUCCUGAAAGGAAGGACACAGACCUGGCUGGCUUUGCCACCUGCUGAUGGUAGAGCCCAAGGACCUUGAGUGAACAUAGGCAGUAGCCAGGAGUGGUUACAGCAGGCCUUGCAUGAGACCCAGUGCUAUGCUGGCUUCAGGUCUGACCCAGUGCAGUCAUAGUGGUGGUGGACUGAAAGCCAUUCUUCUAUGACAUGGAACAAGAUGAGAAUGCCCACUGUCACCACUGUUAUUAAACAUGGUACUGGAAGCUCUAGCUAGAGCAACCAGACAAGAGAAAGAUACAAAGGACAUCAAAAUUGCAAAGGAAGAUGUCAAAUUAUUCUUGUUUGCAGAUGAUAUGAUUUUAUAUUUGGAAAAAAUUAAAGACUCCAACAAAAAACUAUUAGAACUGAUAAAUUCUGUAAAGUUGCAGGAUACAAAAUCAACAUACAGCGGGAG
rnacentral:lncRNA from 1 species